UUUAGUGAUGUUGCAGAAUUUACAGAUUUUCUUGGUCUGCGGAGAGGUGUUUGAAUAAUACCCUUACUUCUAAUAGGUAUAUAUCCUUCAGUAUUUGGUUGUGAUAGAUGUGUAGAAUUGAUGGUCGAUACUAGUGCUCUGAAAAUAAAAAACAAAAGCAAAGAACUUUAAGACAUGCAGGACUCAAUAUUUGUAACAAUAGCAUAAUAUAUGAAAAAUACUUACGGAAUGGGUUGACAUACGUAUUUAUGUUGUGGCCAAUUAUCUUUUUGACACUUUCUACUGCAAUAGAAAGUAUGACAUUUUUCGCAGGAUUUGGGUCUGGGAUUUCAUACAUUGUGUACCCUCGCCCGAGCGAGACAUGUCGUUUGCAAUCUGGUGUAAUCAUUAAUUGUCCUCUAACAUAUUUAAGAGAAAAAAAUGCUUGUACAUGAAAUAUGCACACAUUUGGUAUAAAUUAUCAAACAGUACCUUGUCCAUAACGUGUGUGUACUAUCAAAUGGAUCUGCUUUUUCAUAUGGAUUGUAUGUGUAUGAAUCAGAAGGAUAUGAAUAUAAUAAAUCAUCAUCUGGUGUGUAAAUUAUUCACAUACAGUGCGAAUUCUUUGCUAGAACUACAAUAAAUAAAAAAUGUAUACAUGAAUAAAAAAAUGGCAAGAAAAAUAUAUACGCUUUACUUUAUACAAAAGAUAAAGAGGAAAGAAAUCGUUAACAACACGUGCAAAUUGCCUCAAAAAAAAAAUAUACACGUCACGUACUGUAACCGCUAAUUAAUAAUACGAGGCGUACUGAAACGACAAACAAUUGAAAUCUAAGAUCGUGCGACCAGUUUUAAAAUAAUAAUCACUAUGAAUGUCUAAC